CGGGGCGUAGCGCAGCCUGGUAGCGUACACGUCUGGGGGGCGUGGGGUCGCAAGUUCAAAUCUUGUCGCCCCGA
rnacentral:tRNA from 1 species